GGGUGCUUGAGACUGACCGUCUCAGGCAUGGGACGGAAAGUGGAAAGCCCCGCCUGAUAAAAAAUCAGGGCGGGGGCUCGAAACGACACGUCACACCGUGGAGUUCGCUACCUCGCCCGCUUUAAAGCAAGGAGGCAUCCAUG
rnacentral:antisense_RNA from 1 species